rnacentral:ncRNA from 1 species
AAUCGAGCGAUGAGCGGAACGAGUAGUGCUUAUCUCCCUGCUGACAGAGAGCUAGUGGUUGGUGCGAACUAGCGUACAGGUAAGCAUGAAUUACCUCCGUGAGCAUCUUUUGCGAACAGCUUGUGCGAAAGUAGCAAAAGACGGUAUAAGCCGUUAUAUCAAUGAAGCGAGAGGACAUAUAUGUUCUCUAAGUAGGGUGGUACCGCGAUGAAACUCGUCCCUUCA